GGGGGGGAGGACCGCCGGACAGUUCGUGACGUUUUGGCCCUCUCAAAAGCCAACAACCCCAACCUAGUCUUUCUCUGCGAGACUAGACAUGAUGCAACUAAAGUGGAGAAAAUGAGCUGGAGGUUGGGCCGAAAAGGCUUCCACGGAGUCAGUAGUGAUGGAAGAAGCGGCGGGCUAGCUCUGUUUUGGGAUGAAAAUCUUACAGUUACAGUGCUUGAAUCUUGUAAUAGGUUCAUUGAUGUUCGUAUCCUUGAAGGAGGCUCGGGUAUUUCAUGGAGAGGUACCUUUGUAUAUGGGGAGCCGAGUGUGGAAAAUCGUCAGCGUAUGUGGGAUCAUCUGUGCUGGUUGCGUGCAGUUUCGCGAGAGCCAUGGGCUGUAUGUGGCGACUUCAAUGAAGCACUCUGGCAGCACGAGCAUCUAUCAAGAUCAGCUCGAGCGUUGGCACAAAUGCCAGCGUUCAGGGACUGUUUACAAACAUGCGAGCUAGAGGACCUCGGGUUCUCUGGUCUCCCUUUCACAUACGAUAAUGGUCAGGAUGGAAAUCACAAUGUACAGGUCCGCCUCGAUCGGGCUUGUGUGGAUGAGGCGCUAUGUGAUAUCUUCCCGGCGGCACGGGUACUGCAUCUGGCUACCUCCUGCUCAAGCCAUAGUCCACUUUUGAUCAAUCUAGAAGGAGUGCAAGAACCGAGACGCCGGGCGUCAAUUCCACGUUAUGAGAUCAUGUGGGAGCGAGACCUCAAGCUGUAA
rnacentral:rRNA from 1 species